UACGAAGGGGCUAGCGUUGCUCGGAAUCACUGGGCGUAAAGCGCACGUAGGCGGCUUUUUAAGUCAGAGGUGAAAUCCUGGAGCUCAACUCCAGAACUGCCUUUGAUACUGAGAGGCUUGAGUCCGGGAGAGGUGAGUGGAACUGCGAGUGUAGAGGUGAAAUUCGUAGAUAUUCGCAAGAACACCAGUGGCGAAGGCGGCUCACUGGCCCGGUACUGACGCUGACGGUGCGAAAGCGUGGGGAGCAAACAGGG
rnacentral:rRNA from 1 species